CUUCUCGCAUUUCUACCUGCGGCGACCCUUUUGAUAAUGUGUGAACCUUCUAAGCCCCGAAGUCGACAAGAAUAACCUUCUGAACCUUGGAAUGGUUCACCUUCUGAAAUCUGAACCUCUCGGAAAAUGGUUCAUCAUCAUUUUCCUUUUUUAUAUAUUGAUGAUGAUUUUAUCUUUACCAGGUAUUGGUGGAGAUGGCAAACCCUCCCUACCAUCGAUCUUCAUUUUGACAACCGUGUUGCUGAAAAAUAUCGAUCAGACGAUCUCGACGAUGAUAAAGAAGAACAAACCCUCAACAAUUCCAAGGAAGAUAUAGCCAGUGCAGUGUCUUUCCGGCGCAGAUCUCGAAAAACCAGAUUUGGGCGUUUUGGUCCGAGCCCACUCUCUCUGCUUCCAGAUGUAGAUCUGAAAGGUUCUCUCUGUGAAUUUUCAAAUCGCUUGGCAAGUUACAGAUGAAAUCUGUAAAGGGUUGAUGAAGGACUGCUCAUGUAUGGGAAGCACUGAUUGUAAUAUAAAUUUAAUGUGGAUGAGGAUGGGAUGAAGAACACCACCUUGGAAUCCUUGGCUGUUUGUUCAGCCAAAAAUGGCACAGAGUGUAUUCCACAUUAAAUUUAUAUUGCAAACAGUGCUUCCUUUAAGUGUAUUGCAAAGAGUACCCACAGUGCAAUUUCGCUCUAGCUUGUGGCAUUUCGGCUUCUUUUGCUUUCCCAGUGUUUCACAACUCUUUCCAGGAAAUGCCUUGGAGUACUUGAGUUUGUAACUAGUACAGAUUUCAGAGCUUUAAACAAUAGGCGUGAUUGGUUUUUGAGGCAUGCGGUCAAGGUUUGUCAAAACCCCAAAUUUUUACUUAUAUUCUUCUAAUUAAUUUCAUAAGAAGAUGGUAUGAUUGCUAUCAUAUUUGUAGAUGAUAUAUAUAUAUAUAUAUAUGAAAUUUUAUUUUCAUUAAAUUAACCUUACAAAAUUGUUCACUUCUCUUCACUUGCUGGAUGUAGAUCUGAAAGGUUCUCUCUGUGAAUUUUCAAUUCGUUUGGCAAGUUACAGGUGUAAUAUGCAGAUGUGAUUUAUAUAUGGUGUUCUUUUUUCCUUAUUUAUAUGUUUUAAGUACUAUAUUCUCAUUAACAAAUGUCUAUACCACACCACACUUAGCAAUCCAGAUUCUCUAUGAAGGUUAUCAAAAUGCACUUGGAUGAAAUCUGUAAAGGGUUGAAAGUGGUGUGCAGAACUGACAAGUUACCUUUGGCUCACACGGGGACUCUGUGCGGCCAUUACUGUGCCUGUAAGGGACAAGUCUUGCACCUUCAAAGGUCAUCCUAUGUUGGAGAUGAUAAUAAUCUUCUAGUGAAAUUCUUAGGAAUCUGUUGGCAGAAUGACUUACAAAAGGGGCUGGGAGUUUUUGCUUUUUAAGGGUUUUCAUGCCAAAUGCAUGUUGUUUAACUGUCCAGAUCAUAUAUAGAUAUAAAUCUUUUGUUUUGGUUAUUGAUUAUUUUUUUAAUCGUUAUGAUUUGCAAUAUAUAGAAGAACAUUGCCCUCUUUUUGGUGUCUAGAAGUUGCACUGUGUUCAUGAUAUAAUCUAAGAAUAGAGGAUUUUAUCACAGCGGCUUACUUUCUGUGGUUUGUCAAAUUGUUGCUUAAUUUAGCACUUUCUAUAUCCAAGCUCCCACUUUGUUCUCUAGGAUUGCCAAGUCUUCUACUGUUUUAGUUGAAAGAACAUUUUUAUUUGAAAGAGAAGACCUUGUUGAAAUGUAAUAUGUAUGUUCAAAGGGAAAGAAGCAACUUCCGUUUUUGUAGGAUACAGCCCAUUUUGUGUGUGUUGCCAUGACAUAAAUGAUCCAAUUGUUUUGGCCUCGACUUCUCGUGGGAUAUGAAUCCACUAUACCCCAAAUGAUUUAUUUGUUUCUUCUAUAUGGAGUUGGCAUGUCAAUCAAGUAGAGAAUUGAAAUGUAUCAGCGGUUCCAGAUGCUCUUGUUACGACUGCAACAAUCAUUAGGCAACCGAACAACUCUGAGAAUCCACUAGUUGUACAAGCUCACACUAUGUCCUGUUCCUAUACCUAACUGAACAAGCAUGGUUUCUUCCACAACUAAGUACUGGGCCUAAGGUGAAAGACAUGAUCAUGAAGGCUACGUACAGAGAAAAUAUUGUAAGGCUUCUACUUUAUUUUAAUUCUAGUUGCUUCAAUAAAUUUACUUUGUCAAGGUGACUAAUUAAACCAGUCAUGUUGAAAUAAUGCUAGUAUAAUUCCGUUUAGUCUGGGGAUAUUGUUGACUGAGAAGAGAGGAACUGAGUGUCUCUCCCAAGAGGUCAGGCAUUGGAAUUUGAGGAAGUUCCCAAUCCUGAUUGACUGAUCGCGCGCGCACACACACACACACACACACACACACACACACACACACACCAUGUAUUAUGAGGAAAAAAUGUGUAGACAUGAUGUUUAUAUUCUUCCCUUUGACACAAGUUUUUUUCUUUUCUUAAUUGGUGUUCUAUUAAAGAAAGAUCAAGCAUUACAGCGCACAGAGGGCAUACCCUCAAAGAAGAAGUAAAUAAAUUCCCCUCCAAUAAUGAGAAGGCCCAUUUCCAGUACAUCUAAAAGUUUAUAUUUCAAUUUUCAGUAUAGCAAAGUCAUAUUUGAUUGUGACCAAAAACAAUUGUGGGGAAGAUGAGGUACUGACUAUAUUAAUGAGGAACAACCAUGUGAAAGUUGAAUUAAUAUUCAUUUUCUUCGAGUUCAAACAUAAGUUUCAUUACUCUUGGUGCUUUGUAGAGAGCUACGAUCUUAUUGGUAAUGAAUAUUCAUUUGCUUCGAGUUCAAACAUAAGUUUCACUACUCCUGGAGUAUUGUUGAGAGCUACGAUCUUGUCACUUACUGAUAUGCAUGCGUUGUGGCAUUAAUAAAAAAAGGUGUCAUUGUGGAGCAUGGUUGAUCAUAUGAUUGAUUUGUGAAUUAGAAGAGAGGGCAGAAAAUAGGGAGUGUGCAAUUAGAAGGAAUGACAUUGCCCCAUGCUAUGUAUAAUGAUUAUAGAAAUAGAUGGACUUUGUAAAGAUCUUUGUGGUUUCUUCAUUCCUCCCUUUUGAUUGCACUGAAACUUAAAUAGUAAAAUCUUUUGUUUUAAGACCUGAUAUUUUGUUUGUUCAGUUAAUUUUUUUGUUGUAGAAAUUACUUAGUUUGGGUUUGAGAUUAGUUGUUUGUGUAUCAUAUAUGAAGAUAUCAUAUAGUAUCAUUUUUCUGUCCUUUUUUUACUUUUGAUUUGGUGAUAUUACUGAAAUUUAAUAAACAAAUUUACUUAAAUGCAACUAUAAAAUAAUUUGCGUAGUUACAGCUAACAGCAUAUUUGAUGGUUGUCUGAAUCUUAUUUUCACUGUGUCGUAUAUUUGUUGAAUUUAGCUUCUUCUUCGUUGACUUUAGUUGAAAUGUUAAAUGUUCUGAUUGAGCUGCCUGGUAAAAGUACUGGUGACAGAAACUUGGUGUUGUCCAUCUUUUUCGCUAAAAGAUCCUUGUUUGCUAAAAUACUAUUUCACUCUAAACUGUUCCCCUGUUAGUUUGAAAUUGUUUGGCUAUAGAACGCCAAUUGUUUCAAUUGGCUGUUGAAUAAAAUAAACUGAAAUUUGGUGGCAAUUUCAAACAAUGCUAUGUUGGUGAGUAUGUGGCCUUACAAAUACGUGAAUGCCAGCAAUCUGCUCUUAAACUUGAUUUUUUUUUUUUUUUUCCCCCACAAGUUGCUUUGUGAGUUUAUUGAGAUGUGCUUCACUAAAAUGCUCCUUGAGGUUAUUUUAUUGCAUCUUUCCAUCUCAAAUGAUGGGGUUGAUGGAUACAGAAGCUUGAAGGUCCCAAAGACGCCUGCCUGAGCGUUUUGUUCUGUUAACAUACUGAGAAUUAAUUUUUCAUUGAUAUCUUCUUGUUCAAUAUUUCAAAAUGCAGGGAAACGGAAAAGCAUUUUGUGCUCGUGGUUGUGUUAGGGCUGCAAUUUAUACCAUAAGUACUGCAGGGCACUGGUGGAGCUUUACCGCAGAGUUUUUUUCUUUUCUUCUAGAUGGUGCGUCUCUGGAUAAUAAAUGCUGGAAGAGGAGGUGUGCGGGAGGCUGGAAGUUAUACGAUCAAACGUAAAGAAUGCGACGAUCAGAUCUUGAUAGCCUCCAACGAGGACAUUGUAUUGCCAUGCUCUUCUUUUUUUCCUUGUAUCUUCCCUUUCUAAUAUUUUGUAAACUGGAAAGUUUGAAACACCACCAUUGUUAUUGGAGCUAUAUAUAAAAAAAUAAAAAAAUACUAAAAAACCUUUUCAUA